rnacentral:tRNA from 1 species
GGGCCGGUAGUUCAGAGGUAGAACACUGGCUUCGCGAGCCAGAUGCCAGGGGUUCGAGUCCCCUCCGGUCCA